rnacentral:rRNA from 1 species
AACGAACGCUGGCGGCGUGCCUAAUACAUGCAAGUCGAGCGGACAGGAGGGAGCUUGCUCCCGGAAGUUAGCGGCGGACGGGUGAGUAACACGUGGGCAACCUACCCUGUAGAUCGGGAUAACAUCGAGAAAUCGGUGCUAAUACCGGAUAAUCAUUUGAAGUGCAUGCUUCGAAUGUAAAAGAUGGCUCCGGCUAUCACUACGGGAUGGGCCUGCGGCGCAUUAGCUAGUUGGUAAGGUAAUGGCUUACCAAGGCAACGAUGCGUAGCCGACCUGAGAGGGUGAUCGGCCACACUGGGACUGAGACACGGCCCAGACUCCUACGGGAGGCAGCAGUAGGGAAUCUUCCGCAAUGGACGAAAGUCUGACGGAGCAACGCCGCGUGAGUGAUGAAGGUUUUCGGAUCGUAAAGCUCUGUUGUUAGGGAAGAACAAGUGCCGUUUGAAUAAGGCGGCACCUUGACGGUACCUAACCAGAAAGCCACGGCUAACUACGUGCCAGCCGCCGCAGUAAAAC